rnacentral:lncRNA from 1 species
CUUCUCUGCAGACACCAGCCUGGUGUCCUCCUUCAUCCCAGGCUGCCAGGCUAGGCAGGGGGCAGCGGCUGCCCUGGUCCUCACAGCCCUGGCUGCGGGGCUGGUGACAGCCAGAUCCUCAUGCUUCUGUGACCAGAGCGCUGCCUUCAGACACCUCUCUGCUGGCGUGUUCCUGGGUCCAUGAUGGAAGAAGGAAAAGUAUUUUUAAAAGACAAUCUAAAGCUCACACUGUGACUGCAACAUAAAAUGUGUUCACCUGAGGAGACUGCUUUCACCGUGAGUGUGUCACAGCUGACUUCUCUGAGCUGGAUGGCACCCUGGACAUCAACCAGCCCUUCACCUUCACGUCACACAGGAGGGACACUGGUCCACAGAGAGGAUGCCUGCUCUGGUCACCAGCUGGAGAGUGGCAGACCUUGGGUACCUGACCUUUGGACUCUGCCACGCAGAGCACUUCCUCAGUCCCUCCUGCUGCCCCUGGCAGGGUGGAGCUGGCAGGGCAGCUGA